UGAUUGACUUUUUUUUUUUUUUUAUGAUGUUGCAUCCCUCUCAGGGUUUCCAUGGCACUGUGCCUCCUAGUAGCUUUGAUUGCAGCUUGGACCACGAGAGCAACAUUAAGAAGGAGGAAGAGUCCGGCCCAGUUCCACUUUCUGCAUCAGAAUACCUCACACCUUCCUGGUCUCUCUCUCCUUCCUCUUCUCCUCUGUCUCACUCUGAGCCCAGUGAUUCAGACCUCGACUCGGAUGAUGCCAAUGGAGAGAAGCGCAUACGAUUACUUCACCGCCGCAAGAGGCACAAAGCUCUGUCCUCUUCUGUUGCACAUGCUAAAAGAAAAGCACUUCAGCGACCCACCAGCCAUCCUCCCCCUUUUCCACACUCCCUCCCGUCCUCCACACUGCAGCCCACUGCUCCCUCCAGACCUGUGUUUAAGUGCCCGCCGCCUGCAGGAGUUGCUGCUAAUAGUGUCAAUGUGUCAGUGGGUCGUGGGCAGAGCACCAUGGCACAGAAACAGCGCUGUGUUUACUGUGGCCGUCAUUUCAGAUCUCUCCCGCGGCAUCUGGAAAAACACCACGCCCACCAGCCGGACAUGCGCUCUGCCCUGGAGCAAGCGCGCACCCCUGGUGACCCUCCUUGUGUCCAACCGUGUCUCCCAUCAUCGAGCAAACAGUCCCAAUGCCUACAAGUGGCUCCUGUGCCAGGUGUGGUGGUGGUAACACCACGGUCACCUCCUGCUUCUUCUUUGUCUCCAGUCAGAAGGAGCCCUGCCCUCUCUAGCCCUACUCGCAAAAGUCCUGCCCCAGCGACUCCUCCCAGAAGAGGAGGUGUUCCCGUGUCUGUCUUAAAGAGGAGCCCACCUACUCCUGCUACUCCUCCGAGAAAAGGAGGACGUAAAAUGAAAAAGGAUAAAGAGGAGGUAGACAUUUUUGAGAAGAUGAAAGAAGAGGAACUGCCCACUCCAGUCUUUGUGGAUCUUGUUAAGGAGUCAGAACCUUCGAAAGAAGAAAGAGAGGACAAUGGAGGGAGAGAAGAAGAAGAAGAAAGCGGAGCGGAGGAUAAGACCGACCUAUCAAGUUCGCGUCGUCCCCACAUGCUCCCACUUCUUUCCUCCCUUUCCUCCCUGGUGUUGUACCUGCGGCGGCUGCAGCACUCUGCCUUUAUUUCUCUCUCCCGCUCACCUGAGUCGGCCGAGGCAUGGCGUCUCCUCUGUCACUCCAGCCUGGCCCUUCUCAUCCUUUACAAUCGCCGCCGUGAAUGUGAAGUCUCCAAACUGACAAUCUCAGAGUACCAGGCCCGAGUCGCAUCCCAGUGCCCCAUCCCUGUGCAACCUGGUGCCCUGUUAACUCUAACCCCACUGGAGGCUGCACUCUCACCCUUCGAGCGGCUGGUCCUCCCUCAUCUCCCUCGUGUCGGGGUCCAAGGGAAGCGUGGCCGCGUACAGCCGCUCAUCCUCCCCCCACACUCAGAAGCCUGUCUGGAGAUGCUUUUGCAGACUCGUGCCGGUGUGGGAAUCGAUCCACAGAACCCCUAUGUGUUUGCCAGGCCGUAUCAUUCGCCAGCUACUCCCCUGCGAGGAACAGACUUACUACGUAGUUUGGCUCGGUCCAGUGGUUCGCAGCACCCCCGGGCACUGACGCAGACACGCGUUCGCAGACAGGUGGCGAUACUUACGCAGCUGCUGUUGUUAAGUGAGGGUGAGGAGGAAGGACGGCACGGGGCUGCCAUUCAGCGAUUGGAAAGCUUCUUGCAGAAGGAGUAUCACGUGACUCAAAGCUGCGCAACCAUCGGCCAGGACCCUGGGCUGAUGGGUCUGAUCGGUCGUGUGGUACUAUGUGGAGAGAGAGAUGGCGUCUUGUUCCGAGGAAUGAGUUUACAUCACAUAUGUCUGGAGUUAGAUGUGUUGUCAGGAAACUCUGCCGACUCGCUGUCAGAGGACUCAGAUGUUGAGCAGAGUAAAGUGAAACCAGAAGCAGCAUCUCCUGCAACCACCAUUGUGAUGAAAAAAAACACAAGCAACAGCAAAUCUCCCCGGCCCAAGAAGAUGAACAGCAGCUCCCUGCUCUCAGCGGGACGCAAAAAGGCCUCAGGACAGCCCAAACCUGGUGAGUCUGAUUGUAUGACUGUCAUACAGUGUAAAAAUAUGCCUUUGUACUCCUCAGUUCCAGGAAUUGAGGACAACACUGCUAAUUGUAACAUAAUCUGUGUUUACAUGCACAAAGCAUGGACCAGUUAAACCAGGGUUAAUUUUUUUUGAGGGCUGAUAAGUGCAACCUAUGUUAAACCAAGAUAGCUAAAAAUAGGAAAGAACAUACAUUUGAAUUAAUAAGAUUUAUUGACUGUUCUCUUGUGUCUUCCUUUUAUAAUGAGAAAAGUUCUGUAAUGAGAAGGAUAGUAAACAUUGCUGUUCUGUAGCCAUGGUGAACAAUCUGUUAGAGUAGGACAGA
rnacentral:lncRNA from 1 species